UACGUAGGGGGCGAGCGUUGUCCGGAAUCAUUGGGCGUAAAGCGCGUGUAGGCGGCCCGGUAAGUCCGCUGUGAAAGUCCAGGGCUCAACCCUGGGAUGCCGGUGGAUACUGUCGGGCUCGAGUCCGGAAGAGGCGAGUGGAAUUCCCGGUGUAGCGGUGAAAUGCGCAGAUAUCGGGAGGAACACCAAUGGCGAAGGCAGCUCGCUGGGACGUUACUGACGCUGAGACGCGAAAGCGUGGGGAGCAAACAGG
rnacentral:rRNA from 1 species